CAAAUUUAGUGGGGAACAAUCACUUUUGUCUUCUCCAUUACAGCUUUUCCCCUCACCGAAAACAAAAGGAAAUACUCUCUGUUGACUAAACCUAGUAUGGAACCUUCCUGGUAAUUUCUUUGCCGAUAGCGAAAUUAAAAAGAAGUUAUAUCAUCGAUUUCCAUUGCUAACGCUCCUUCUGAUUACAAACUCCAAACGCAGAAAGAAAAGUUCAGAACAUGGAGAAUUACGACGUGAAGUUUCUCUGCAGCUAUGGCGAUGAGAUCCACCACCACCCCAACGACAAGAAGAUCUCCUACGUCGGCGGCCUCAACAAGCUCCUCUACGUUAACCGUGGAAUCGACUUCACCGCCAUGCUCGCCGAACUCUCCGCCCUCUUUGACGCCACCGGUGACAUCCACUUCAAGUAUCAGCUCCCCGGCGAUGACUUCGACUCUCUAAUAUCCGUCACCAGCGACAGCGGCCUAAACAGCCUGAUGCUUGAGUAUGAUAACCUCUACAGAGAUUCCCCUAAAACCGCUCGGAUGAGAUUAUUCAUCUUCUAUGGUAAGGGUCCUGAUUCCGCGUCCACCCAACCCUUCCCAGUCAAACUGAAAUCCAAAGUCAACGGCGAUGCUGUUGUUCCUCCGCAAAUUACGCCGGUGAAGUUCCAAGAUCUGCCACCGGUUAACAAUUUUAAUACCUCAGACCGAGCGUUGGAUUCGGAUCCAAAAGUGAAUCAACCGGUCGAAGAUUCCGGUUCUUCCCGUUUGAAUAGUCCGUUACCUGCUUUACAGUAUGAUGUUUUCAUCAGCUUCAGAGGUGAGGAUACACGCGCAAGCUUCACUUCCCAUCUUUCCAAAGCCCUGUCCCGAAAGCAGAUAGUUACAUACACUGAUGACUUGCUUCACGAAGGAGAUUCGAUCACGUCCAUCCUCCUCAGAGCAAUUGAAGAAUCUUGCCUUUUGCUUGUUGUAUUCUCAGAGAACUACGCAUCCUCAAAGUGGUGCUUGCAAGAACUGGUUAAAAUAAUGGAGUGCAAGAAAGAAUUUGGACGGCUUGUUAUUCCUGUCUUCUACAACGUUGAUCCAUCACAUGUAAGGUAUCAGCUAGGAAGUUACAGUGAAGCGUUUAAAAAACACUUGCAGAAUAACAAGAAGGCGGAGGUUCAGAAGUGGAGGGAAGCUCUCACUGCAGCAGCAAAUUUAGAAGGCUUGGACUCCCGUUCUUAUGGGGACGAAAUUGAAUUCAUUCAGAAUAUUGUCAAAGAUGUUUUGCAGAAGCUGAUUGACCAUAACCCACCCAAUGAUAGUAAAAAUCUUGUUGGCAUUAGUGAAAAUCUUGAAAAUGUAAAAUCACUAUUAAGUGAAUCUGUUGAAGUCAGAAUGAUUGGAAUUUGUGGCAUAGGGGGUAUAGGAAAAACAACUCUAGCAAGACUUAUAUUUGAGAAAUAUUCUUAUAAGUUUGAAGGCUCCUGCUUCUUAGAAAAUGUACGGGAAAGAUCAGGAAAGUAUGGAAAAUCCACUUUUGUUAAGCACAGGUUAAGCAAACAAAGAAAUUUCAUAGUUCUUGAUGAUGUGAGUAGUUUAAAGCAAUUAAAUUACCUGGUUGGGGAGCUUCAAUGCUGUGGCGCAGGUAGUAAGAUCAUUAUCACAGCUAGAGACAAAAAUGUGCUGGUUCCAACGGUUGAAACAAUAUAUGAGAUGAAGAUAUUAGAUUCUCAUGAAUCAUUUAAACUGUUUAGUUUGAAUGCAUUCAAUGAAGACUAUCCACAAAUUGGAUACGAGGAGCUAUCAUGGAAAGCGGUUGGCUGUUGCAAAGGCAUCCCACUAGCCUUAAUAGUAUUGGGUUCUUUUCUUCAUUCAAAGAGUAAAACUGAAUGGCAUAGUGCAUUGCAAAAGCUUGAGAAGACACCAGAUCCAGAAAUUCAGAAUAUUUUAAGAUUGAGUUAUGAUGGAUUAGAUGAUGAGGCAAAACAAAUUUUUCUAGACAUCGCAUGUUUUUUUAAGGGAGAGCUUGUAGAAUACGUAGUUAAUCUGUUAGGCAGUUGUGGCUUCUAUGCAGCUAUUGGCAUGAGAUCCCUUCUUGAUAGAGCUUUAAUAGCUAUAUCUCAUAAUUGUGUGCAGAUGCAUGACUUGAUCCAAGAAUUAGGUUGGGAUAUCGUUUGUCAACAAUCUAGUGGAAAUCCUGAAAAUCGUAGCCACUUGUGGGAUUCUAAUGAUAUUUGGGAUGUUUUGGGAAACAACAAAGGAACUGAUUCUAUUGAAAGCAUAGUGUUGGAUAUGUCUCAAAUAGAAGAUCUACAGUUGAAUGCUGAUACAUUCAAAAAGAUGCCUAAGUUAAGAUUUCUCAAAUUAUAUAUCCCAUCGGAAAAUGAUGGCAGAUUGAAUAAAUUGCAUCUUCCCGUAGGACUAAAGCCAUUUCCUUCUAAAUUAAGAUACUUGGAGUGGGAUGCCUACCCUUUGCCAUCUCUGCCAUCGAAUUUUUGUCCUGAGAAGCUUGUUACUCUUCGCAUCCGGAACAGUAAACUUAAAAGACUUUGGGAUGGGGUUCAGAAUCUUGUUAAUUUAGAGGAAGUAGAUCUAACAGAUUCCCGAAAGUUGGUGGAGCUUCCAGAUUUCUCCAAGGCAGAUAAUCUCAAAAGUGUACAUCUGUCUGGCUGUCGAAGUUUGCGUCAUGUCCAUCCAUCUCUUUUAUCACUUGGAAAACUUGAACUUUUAGAUCUUUUGAACUGUGCAAAACUUGAGAUGCUUGAAACUAAGAUGCAUUCAAAAUCUCUUAAUCACCUCUAUAUCAAGAGCCGCACAAGUUUAAUCCCACCCUAUGUCAGUCACUUAUCAUCUUUACGGAAAUUACUUCUAGAUGGAAGCCCUGUGGAGACAUUGCCGGUGAGCAUCAAACACCUUACGGAGCUGAAAACACUGUCACUAAAAGGGUGUAAGAUGCUUCAACAUUUGCCAGAGCUUCCAUCAUCCAUUCGUCAUUUGACUGCUCUGGACUGCAUAAUGCUGCAAACUGUGACAUUCAGUUCAAAUAUUCCUAGACUACAAGAAGAAAAACGCAUAAACAUCUCGUUCCAUAAUUGCAUGAAGUUGGAUGUGGCGAAUUGUAUUUAUUGGUACCUUAAAGAUAUAAGGAAACUUGCUUACGUGUGUGAAUCCAGAAGAGGAGGAAAAGGAGUAGUUCGGAGAAGUGAUUUCUUCAAGAUUUGUUACCCCGACUACAGAGUACCAGAGUGGUUCAUGCAUCGGACAAAGGGUACUUCCAUAACUUUUGAAGUUUCUUCACCUUCCAGUUAUGGUUUUAGUUCCCUUCUCUGCGUUGUUCUCCCUAAGUAUAGUUUGGAUUAUGAACUUGAUAUUAAAUGCCGUUGCUACUUGGAAGAUGGUAGUAACAUGCACAAAUAUUCAUUUGGCGUAUUAUUUCUAAAUCACAUUCCGGCAAAAGGGUGUUCUGAUCAUGUUUAUAUGGCAUAUAAUUAUGGAGGCAUCUUUGAUGUAAUCAAGCUGGACAGAUUGAAUAAUAAGAUUGCGUCUUCCGGGCAAAACCCAAAAGUCACAUUUGAAUUCUUUGUCAGCAGUGGCGAUACUGGAAGUAAACAAGAUGAUAACUUGUUGAUCAAAGAGUGUGGUGUCUAUCCACUAAAUGACUCCAAUUUUAGAACUGAAUAGACGCUACUAUUUUGGAGUUUCGGCAUGAAAAACAAGGCCUUGGGAUGCUGGAUUUUGUAGCACAUGGAACCAUGAGGUUGGAGUUGGAAGCUCCCGGGCCCCAGCUAAAACUCGUAUUUGCUCUUGGCUUUAUCUAGAAGUGCACGCCACCGCACAAUGGUGGUGGCAGGCGGUGGCAAUGGUGUGUGGAUAGGACAGGGUCAAAUUUGGAAAGAGAGAGCUGAAUAAUGGUUGACAAUUUAAUUAGAUGGACAAAAUUGAAAUACUUUGGAAAUGUUGA